ensembl:lncRNA
AAAGACUCAGUUCCCAAUGGGACUGAGUGUCCAAUGGGACACCCAAACCAGGACAGCCCCGGGGGCACCUGGGCUUGUAUCAACAGAAAUGCCAGGGAUCCUGAAACGCUCCAGGGCACCCCACUUGGACACAGCUCCUGGUAAGUGCCACAAAAGGACACCCUGUGGGCACUGGCCGCUGGGCAGGGUCCCUGCAGCAGACGAUCACCCCCCUCCCUGGACCACAGGAGGCUGACGACCUGAGGCUGGGGAGACGGGGAAGCACCUCCCCUGGCUGGCUAGAGAGGCCGCUGAGCUGGAAAAUGGACCUGGAGGGAGAACACACCCUGCCAGUGUCCUGGAAGAAGGCUGACCCCAGUGGAGACAAGUCAGGUCACUGGAGUCCAGGCUGGCUUGCUGUAAACACAUCAUGUCAAGAGCUUAUCCUGCCGACAAUGACUUGCCAACAGUGCUUACCUCUGCGUCUGCGGCAAGCCCGGAGGCUGAUGUCAUAGAAGCCACAUGGCAGGAAUUGUCUGGGCUUAUCUGACCGACAGACUCACCUACAAAACCCAGUGCGUCUCCUCAGAGCACUGAGACAAGGGCCUUUGUAAUGAUAAAUGCUGAGGUGUUAAUAUUUCUACUUGCCUGUUUUCCUCUAGAUCACAGUCGAGUUGAAAGGAAUGAAACCGAAGUAGUUGUCAGAUUAAAUGCUUUUGCUUUACAGCAGCAGUAAGAUAUUCAGGUUUGGGUUUGGGUUUGAACUUAGUGCCAAAUUUUAAAAAUGUGACCUACCUUAUAAUAAACUAAAUCACAUUCUGAAGCUGUUCCUUUCUGUCCAAAGGGCUCAUCUUAUACAUUCGUGAAUUAGUUAUUCAGCCCUAAUGAAAUAGAUUGAUAGUGUGAUUUUUA